UACGUAGGGUGCGAGCGUUGUCCGGAAUUACUGGGCGUAAAGAGCUCGUAGGCGGCUUGUCACGUCGGGUGUGAAAGCCCGGGGCUUAACCCCGGGUCUGCAUUCGAUACGGGCUAGCUAGAGUGUGGUAGGGGAGAUCGGAAUUCCUGGUGUGGCGGUGAAAUGCGCAGAUAUCAGGAGGAACACCGGUGGCGAAGGCGGAUCUCUGGGCCAUUACUGACGCUGAGGAGCGAAAGCGUGGGGAGCGAACAGG
rnacentral:rRNA from 1 species